CAGAGGGUGCGAGCGUUAAUCGGAAUAACUGGGCGUAAAGGGCGCGUAGGCGGUUUGUAAAGAGUGAUGUGAAAGCCCCGGGCUUAACCUGGGAAGCGCGUCGCAGACUAAUAGACUAGAGUAUAUGAGAGGGUGGUGGAAUUUCCGGUGUAGCGGUGAAAUGCGUAGAUAUCGGAAGGAACGUCAAUGGCGAAGGCAUCCACCUGGCAUACUACUGACGCUGAGGCGCGAAAGCGUGGGGAGAGAACAGGAUUAGAUACCCUGGUAGUCCACGCUGUAAACGAUGAGGACUAAAUGUUGAUUGGGGAACCGAGCAGUAUUGAAGCUAACGCGAUAAGUCUUCCGCCUGGGAAGUACGGCCGCAAGGUUG
rnacentral:rRNA from 1 species